rnacentral:rRNA from 1 species
AGUGAACGCUGGCGGCAGGCCUAACACAUGCAAGUCGAACGGCAGCACAGUAAGAGCUUGCUCUUACGGGUGGCGAGUGGCGGACGGGUGAUGAAUACAUCGGAGUCUACUUUUUCGUGGGGGAGAACGUAGGGAAACUUACGCUAAUACCGCAUACGACCUACGGGUGAAAGCAGGGGAUCUUCGGACCUUGCGUGAUUGAAUGAGCCGAUGGCGGAUUAGCUAGUUGGCGGGGUAAAGGCCCACCAAGGCGACGAUCCGUAGCUGGUCUGAGAGGAUGAUCAGCCACACUGGAACUGAGACACGGUCCAGACUCCUACGGGAGGCAGCAGUGGGGAAUAUUGGACAAUGGGCGCAAGCCUGAUCCAGCCAUACCGCGUGGGUGAAGAAGGCCUUCGGGUUGUAAAGCCCUUUUGUUGGGAAAGAAAAGCAGCAAGUUAAUACCCCGCUGUUCUGACGGUACCCAAAGAAUAAGCACCGGCUAACUUCGUG